GGGAAGUUAGCUCAGUUGGAAGAGUGCUACGUUGACAUCGUAGAGGUCGCUGGUUCGAGCCCAGUACCUCCCACCA
rnacentral:tRNA from 1 species